UGAAGAGGGAAGAGAGUUUAAAGCAUGCAAACAGUCGCUCUCCCUCUCUCAUCUAGACAAAAGCGUGAACUUCAAAGGGCUCACUUACUUUGAAAACAAAACCAAGUUCAACAAUGCAGUCUAAGAAAUGAGAGUAGUAACAGACAUUGUGUACAUCUUUACAGCAGUAGACGCUUAUUGAUGGUCCAUUCAAUAUAACUGAACUUUGGUAGUGUACGAGCUGCAAUUUCACAUUUUGCCACUGAACACUCAAAAUGCAACAUGGGUGUCAAAUCAGUCAUGCAUCCUCAUUGGCCCGUUGCCUCAGUAACCCCUGUGUGAAUGAAUAGUCCCGCUGAGGGACUGGUAAUACUGUGGCUUUUUGGCUGCUGACUCCGUGCUACCCUAGUGACAUGCUGGUGUACUGAAUGACAUUUUAGGAGGAGGAGAAAGCUGUGUUUACUUCGUAGUGAGUAGGUAAUUGAACUUAGCAAAUACAGACACAAACACAGCAAUUUGGUCAAGUAUACAGAAACAGGCACAGACCACACAGUUUUAUAGUACAGUUAAGGCAUUGAAAUGUUUGUGUACAGAGCGCUCUGAACGGUGCAACAUCAAUUGCUGUGCACUCUGUGAAGGCUCUGGUUGUCCCGCUUCUGACACCUCAUUUGAAUAAGGUGCGACAUGCCACAUUUUCUGCCCUAUCCAGACAAAGGAUACAUUUCGUCUGCCUGUGAAUCCUGCAGCUCCACCUACAAUACGACAUAUGAAACGGGAGACUAGCGAUUGGAGCAAAAACAUUGUCUCAUCUUGCUGUGGUGUUCUUAUAUGGAUUCAGAGCUCUCAACAUGAAACAAUACCAAGCGAUUUUGGAGAAUCGAAACUAGACCAGAUCUCGUGGUCACAGAGGGACAAAAUGACUUGGUGCUUAAAGCUGAAGUUGUAACGAGUCGACAGGCAUUUGAAUGUCUCUGCGCCGCUCAGAGGACGCAGGGCUGAAAAUACUCUGUCGGCAGUUAUAUGAAACGGUGCCAAUUUUCUACUGUCACGAAGUAUAAUGAUUUUUAUUUUACAGUGAUAAACAAGGUAAAAUAUUAUAGUAAGUCAAUUAGCAUUUGAUUGUUACUACAUUUAGAAUAUUUACUUUUGUUAAAUAGGAAUGAAAUCCUAUAGGAUUUUCUAUAUUUACAUAUUUUUAUGAUACAGUGUCUGUACUGUGUACUUGAACUGGUGUCUUCAAAAGUGAAUACAACUCAGCAAUUUAUGACUAUUUUUAACAGAAAGGUAAAAAGCAUUAAUACAGUUGGUAUUGUUUAGGGCCCUGUCAUUGUAAAUAAUUACUUUAAGAUAUUCUGCUUAGGUGGAUACAACAUUUUGACAUUAGAUUUAAGGUAAAUCGUGUUGUGAUUAAUAUGGGAUUGUUUUCUUUCCUGGACUGUUCAGUCUCGCUAAAAUUAAAUUCUAGAGUCCCACGCUGCCAAGCUGCACGGGUAAGUCGUGCCAGUUCUGAGGAGAGGAGGAAUGGAAGGAGGGAGCAAUGGAGGAGGAAGGGUUUUAGAGGAAGUGAUUAGCCAGUAAGGCUGGGCCACUUUGCCCCAGUUGUCUCUCUGGCCUUUUGAAUACUGAAACUCCAAAUGGAGCAUCUCUUUAUCAUAUUUUCAUAUUUUACAUUAAUCAAGCACUACAUGACAGAAACGGACCUAGUAUGUUAGAGUAGAGACGAGAGACAAUGCAGGAGCACUUAGAGCCACUCCCUCAAUGCUCUGGGGAGCUGUUGAAGCUGUUCCUGUGAUGAACAGCAACAGAUUGUCUUGGUAGCCGUCGUGGUUCUCUCCAAGUACCGAACCAGGGCGUGGCACCGUAUCCCCAGAGCCCACAGGUUGCAGGUCUCCAGGGGUGUGACUGACUCCAUGACUAAUGCAGCACGACGGUGCUGUUCGGCUCGUAUAAGGUCAUUGCACCACUUCUACUCCACCAGGUUCCCAGCCCUUAUCCUCACAACUCUGUUCAGUGCAGACACGCUUAGCUAGCGUGCUAUGCUAAUGUUCACACAUGGGGAAACAUGAGACACUCAACAUAACCAUGACUUAGUUGUAAUACAUAAAUACCUCAUGACUUUUGUAGCAGAGGACGUUUUGUUUGUUAAUUAUCGCGGCAGUUGUUAUUCUUCCCAUGAGUGUCUCUGACAGGACCCCCCCCCCCCCACCAGCAGGUGAGUCUUCUAGGGGUAAACAUGAACGCAAGAUGCACUCAGAUUGUACUGAUCAAAUGAGUUUCCCCAUAUCGAGUUCUAAAUGAGUCAUUCUCUACACAGACAAGCUCUGGAGUUUGGAGUCAAUUCUCCACAGGCAGCGUUGUGAAGUUUAUCUUUCAGCCUCAGGCUUCCAAUCGGUCUGCAGCUUAUAACUUAUUCAGUACCAGACUGUGCUGCGUGCCUUUAGUCACACACACACACACACACACACACACACACACACACACACACACACACACACACACACACACACACACACACACACACACACACACACACACACACACACACACACACACACACACACACACACACACACGCUAUUCCUACACAAACAUACUAGUGGAACCACCUACUGCAGGGGUAGGAGACUAGCCUGUGGGCCGAUCGGCGUGCCAGAACAUAAUUAUAAUAAGAGAUUGUAUUUGAAAAUAACAGUAAUUUCAUACAUUGAGACAUGAUCACAUCUCACAUAUCUUUUUUAAUGUUUUAUUCGUGUGAAUAAUUGGGAGCAGAUUUUUAUUUAUUUGAUUAAUUCCCAAAACACUUGGGGGGGCAAACAAUACACUUGCGGGACAGUUUUGGCCCGCGAGCCGCCUGUUGCUGACCCCUGACCUACUGUGUAGUAGCAUAACACUGGGCCUCAGCUGUGCUAUAGCCAUGUGGCCCCUGGGAUGUUAUGGGAAUGCUAUGUGACAAUAGCCACAACAUGAUGACAUACAGUAUUCUAUACCAUCUGAGGUCUAAUGGAGUGCAGGGUAUUCCCAGCAGGGGCUAUACCCAGUGAGCGGAGGGAGGGAGCCACAGCUCUAGGUCUAAUGGAGUGAAGGGUAUUCCCAGCAGGGGCUAUACCCAGUGAGCGGAGGGAGGGAGCCACAGCUCUAGGUCUAAUGGAGUGAAGGGUAUUCCCAGCAGGGGCUAUACCCAGUGAGCGGAGGGAGGGAGCCACAGCUCUAGGUCUAAUGGAGUGAAGGGUAUUCCCAGCAGGGGCUAUAUCCAGUGAGCAGAGGGAGGCAGACACAGCUCUAGGUCUAAUGGCGUGAAGGGUAUUCCCAGCAGGGGCUAUAUCCAGUGAGCAGAGGGAGGCAGACACAGCUCUAGGUCUAAUGGAGUGAAGGGUAUUCCCAGCAGGGGCUAUACCCAGUGAGCGGAGGGAGGCAGACACAGCUCUAGGUCUAAUGGAGUGAAGGGUAUUCCCAGUAGGGGCUAUAUCCAUACCCAGUGAGGGAGGGAGGCAGCCACAGCUCUAGUUCUAAUGGAGUGCAGGGUAUUCCCAGCAGGGGCUAUAUAUCCAGUGAGCGGAGGGAGGCAGCCACAGCUCUAGGUCUAAUGGAGUGAAUGGUAUUCCCAGCAGGGGCUAUACCCAGUGAGUGGAGGGAGGCAGACACAGCUCUAGGUCUAAUGGAGUGCAGGGUAUUCCCAGCAGGGGCUAUAUCCAGUGAGUGGAGGGAGGCAGACACAGCUCUAGGUCUAAUGGAGUGAAGGGUAUUCCCAGCAGGGGCUAUAUCCAGUGAGUGGAGGGAGGCAGCCACAGCUCUAAGUCUAAUGGAGUGAAGGGUAUUCCCAGCAGGGGCUAUAUCCAGUGAGUGGAGGGAGGCAGACACAGCUCUAGGUCUAAUGGAGUGAAGGGUAUUCCCAGCAGGGGCUAUACCCAGUGAGCGGAGGGAGGCAGACACAGCUCUAGCUAUAGCCCCCCUCAGUGGACAAGAGAGGCCAUUAGUACAAAAGUUAUAUAGGUGCCCCGUGUGAGGAUUCUCUACACAGGAGCGGAGUUGGGGGUCGGAUUGGGUGAUGAGCCCCACAGGGGGUCCCCUUACUGCUCUAAGCCCAUAAGCCCUCAGCCAAAGCCCAGACCUCAUCAACUGAACAGGGCAUGAGAUAUGGAGGAGGGGUAGGGGCUGGCUGCCACUGGGUAUACUGGCAAGGGGAGGUGGCACUGGGAUGAGACUAUGUGGAGGAGACAAGUGGGGUGAGGGGACGGCUGGGGUUGACAGAUGGUAUCGGCAUUUAAGGAUUUGUGGUAACACUCAAGUCUUGGGCGGUAUACCGUAUAGAGAGGUAUUCUGAAAUACCCACGGUAUAAUUUUCAAUACUGUCAACACCCCACCCCCCCCUUGACCUUUUCCAUUUUGUUACAUUACAGCCUUAUUCUACAUUUUUGUUUUGUUUUUCCACCUGUGGAAAGGCACACACCUGUCCAUUUAAGGUCCCACAGUUGACAGUGCAUGUCAGAGCAAAAACCAAACCAUGGGGUCAAAGGAAUUGUUUGUUGAGCUCAGGGAAAGGAUUGUGUUCUGGGGAAUUGAAGGUCCCCAAGAGCACGGUGGUCUCCAUCAUUCUUAAAUGGAAGAAGUUUGGAACCACCAAGACUCUAACUAGAGCUGGCCGCCCGUGCCAAACUGAGCAAUCAGGGGAGAAGGGACUUGGUCAGGGAGGUGACUAAGAACCCGAUGGUCACUCUGACAGAGCUCCAGAGUUCCUCUGUGGAGAUGGGAGAAACUUCCAGAAGGACAACCAUCUGUGCAGCACUCCACCAAUCAGGCCUUUAUGGUAGAGUGGCCAGAAGGAAGCCACUCCUCAGUAAAAUGCAUAUGACAGCCCACUUGGAGUUUACCAAAAGGCACCUAAAGGAGUCUCCAGACCAUGAGAAACAAGAUUCUCUGGUCUGAUGAAACAAAGAUUGAGCUCUUUGGCCUGAAUGCCAAGCGUCAUGUCUGCAGAAAACCAGGUACCACAUAUCACCUGCUCCAGAGCGCUCAGGACCUCAGACGGGCGAAAGUUCACCUUCCAACAGGACAACGACCCAAAGCACACAGCUGAGACAACACAGGAGUAGCUUUGGGACAAGUCUCUGAAUGUCCUUGAGUGGUCCAGCCAGAGCCCGGACUUGAACCCGAUAAAUCUCUGGAGAGAACUGUAAAUAGCUGUGCAGCGAAGCUCCUAUCUAACCGGACAGAGCUUGAGCGGAUCUGCAGAGAAGAAUUGGAGAAACGCCCCAAACACAGCUGUGCCAAGCUUAAAGCGACAUACCCAAGAAGACUCAAGGCUGUAAUCGCCAAAAGUGAUUCAACAAAGUACUGAGUAAAGAGUCUGAAUAUUUAUGUAAAGGUGAUAUCUGUUUUUUAGUUGUAAUACAUUUGCAAACAUGUAUGCAGAUUAAUGAGGGGGGAAAACUAUUAAAUACAUUUUAGAACAGGGCUGUAACGUAACAAAAUGCAAUGUAUAGACAUUUGGGGCGGGGGGAAUAGUUGUUAAAGAAAUACCUGCAGUGAACUUGUGGACUAGUUUAAUAGAUAAAGCAGAUUGAAUUAUUUUUUGCCUGUUGCAUUUUUUCUCUCAUUGUGAAGCAGUUCCCCAAAGUAGCUGAUUGAGCCAGUUACAUGGUAUAUUUGUUUAUAAAGAGCGCAAGGAGCAAACAGGAGCUUUCGUGAUGGGACGAUCCAGUGUUGUGCAGCGCAAGAGAGGUGAUCAAGUUAUACUUUUAACUUUAUUACUGUUGAACUACCUAAGAUGUGACAAAUAAAUUCUCUCCAGCUCAGGGCUCCAACUAUGCAGUUGGUUUGCUAACUUGCUAGCUAAGGGGCAAGUUAGCAAGUGGUGAUCAAGCUUCUUGGUUACAGCAGAGACCAUCAAUCCCCUCCUAGAUCAAGAUCCCUGCAGUCUAAUAUUUGUUUUGUGCAUGCAGCAAACCUUUUUUAGAUAGUUGUACAACUUUCUGAGCUGGGG